rnacentral:rRNA from 1 species
CAAUAGCGUAUAUUAAAGCUGUUGCGGUUAAAAAGCUCGUAGUUGGAUUUCUGUCGAGGACAACUGGUCCGCCCUCCGGGUGAGCACAUAGUUUGGUCUUGGCAUCUUGCUGGAAACUGUUGCUGCACUUGGCUGUGUGGCGCAGCGUCCAGCACUUUCACUUUGAGGAAAUUGGAGUGUUUCAAGCAGGCACAUGCCUUUGGACACAGUAGCAUGGAAUAAUUAGAUUGGGCUUUUGCUCCAAUUUGUCGGUUUCUGGAGCUGAGGUGAGAAUUAAUGGGGAUUGUUGGGGGCAUCCGAAUUUAGCCGUCAGAGGUGAAAUUCUUGGAUCUGCUAAAGACGGACAACUGCGAAAGCGUUUGCCCAGGAUGUUUUCAUUGA